rnacentral:tRNA from 1 species
CCCCCCAUAGUUUAAAAAGAAUGUUGAUUUUGUAAAUCAUAGGUGGUUUUAGCUAGAUACCUGGGGGUA